rnacentral:rRNA from 1 species
CAAUAGCGUAUAUUAAAGUUGUUGCGGUUAAAAGCUCGUAGUUGGAUUUCUGCCGAGGACGACCGGUCCGCCCUCUGGGUGAGUAUCUGGCUUGGCCUGGGCAUCUUCUUGGAGAACGUAGCUGCACUUGACUGUGUGGUGCGGUAUCCAGGACUUUUACUUUGAGGAAAUUAGAGUGUUUCAAGCAGGCAUGCGCCUUGAAUACAUUAGCAUGGAAUAAUAAGAUAGGACCUCGGUCCAUUUUGUUGGUUUCUUGGGUUGAGGUAAUGAUUAACAGGGAUGGUUGGGGGCAUUCGUAUUUAACUGUCAGAGGUGAAAUUCUUGGAUUUGUUAAAGACGAACUACUGCGAAAGCAUUUGCCAAGGAUGUUUUCAUUGAUCAAGAACGAAAGUUAGGGGAUCGAAGACGAUCAGAUACCAU